UCUGUAUCUGUCUUUUCUACGUUCCCUCCCCUGCCACCCCUAACCAGGGGAUGGGGACCCAAGCCCAGCAGGUCACAGCACAGAAGAAACACUCAAGAUGUCUAAGAGCAGCCUGGACAGACUGGGAACCUCUCUGGGAGCCCAGGAACAGUGCAGACACUGCAAAAGGAUCACACUAACCCACGGUGAGGUUCAGCAGGAGGAACGACAUCUGCCUAGAAGCCUGCAAGGACGUCUGAUGAACCCAACAUGGAGUCUCAUACACAUUUUACUGAAGUCCAAGCAUUGGAACAUGUGGAGCGGAUUUCGAGAUCAAAAUGAUUUUAUGGAUCUGAAUCACUUAUUAAUUUGAUGCAGCUGAAUAGAGGAUGGGACAUUUUUCUUAGCAUCUAAAGGGACACAGAGAAGGCCCCACACAGAUGGAUAAGGGCUUAAUGCCUUAAAUAUUAAAAGGCAUACCAUACAGGCUUAUGUCACCCCAAAGCUGGAGCUACUCUACUGAUAACAGGCAGGUUUCUGUCCCGUUUUCUUUAGGUAUCUUUGAAGCUGGAGGAAGCACAGGCUCGGUGCAGGCUGGAGCGAUGUUAGAUGCUCAUAACCAUCCGUGCAAACAGCCCGCAGCUCGAAGACGGAGGUCACAGAUGCUACCAAGUGCCUUCCAGUCUCCACUCCCCAACUCUUGUCACCCAAAUACAGAAUACAGUAUCAAGUUGGACAGGGUGGUACAAGUUUGUAAUUCAGCCUUUAAGGGGGAUGAGGUAGGGAGAUCGCAAGUUCAAGACCGGUCAGGGCAACUUAGCAAGAUCAUAUCAAGAGAGAGGGAGAGUGCGUGUGAAUGUGUGGGUGUUGUUGGUAUCAGGAAUUGCCUUGAGCAGUGACACCAUUUGGUCACUGCUGCCAUGGCAACGGCCAUACAUUCCCAGAAGACCUUUAGGCUCAAUUUGCAACCCCACCUGGGAGCAGUUCCGUCAUAUUCCAAAUAAAAGGCAGAUUUCUGCUCUCUUCCUCUUUUCUUUUCUUUCUCUCCCCCCUUGUCUUCUUCUCCCAUUAAAUCUCUCCACAUGGAACCAUGUUGGUGUUGGUUUGGUGUGCUUUAUCCACACAGGAGCGGGCCAGUGUGUGUGUGUGUGUGUGUGUGUGUGUGUGUGUGUGUGUGUGUGUCUCAGUGAUAGAGCUUGCCCAGCACGUACAAAGCCCUUAGUGCAAUCCCUGGUACCACAAAAAGAAAAAUUAUGCCUAAUCAGUUAGUUCUGAAGUCAGUUGAUUCUGCCCAAGCCUCACACACGCCUUAGCACACGCAUCUUAGCGCAAUGCACACGAGGAAAGAAAUCUUGCAAAGAUAAAUGAAAAAAAAACUUGCAAAAAAUAAAUUAAAAAUAAACACUUCACUUGUAAUAUUAUUAUAAUGUGUCAAAUCUUAAUCAUCCGGGAGACAACUUAUUAAAGAGGUGGGUUCUGGUGAUUCUUACUGCAGAUAAAUUGACCUUAAAAAUUAAGCUGAACUGGAAAUGACAAUGCCCAGUGUUAACUCUCUAACUGUGACCUAAAUCGCACGCUUCACAAACGACAAAAAAAAAAAAAAAAAGUGUGUUUAAGAUCAUUCUGAAAAUCAUAA
ensembl:lncRNA